GACGAACGCUGGCGGCGUGCUUAACACAUGCAAGUCGAACGAGAAUCACUGGAAGGAGUUUUCGGACAACGGAAGGUGAGGACAGUGGCGGACGGGUGAGUAACGCGUGAGGAACCUGCCUUUCAGAGGGGGACAACAGUUGGAAACGACUGCUAAUACCGCAUGACACAUAGAGAUCGCAUGGUUUUUAUGUCAAAGAUUUAUCGCUGAAAGAUGGCCUCGCGUCUGAUUAGCUAGUUGGUGAGGUAACGGCCCACCAAGGCGACGAUCAGUAGCCGGACUGAGAGGUUGACCGGCCACAUUGGGACUGAGAUACGGCCCAGACUCCUACGGGAGGCAGCAGUGGGGAAUAUUGGGCAAUGGGCGCAAGCCUGACCCAGCAACGCCGCGUGAAGGAAGAAGGCUUUCGGGUUGUAAACUUCUUUUGUCGGGGACGAGUAGAAGACGGUACCUGGCGAAUAAGCCACGGCUAACUACGUGCCAGCAGCCGCGGUAAUACGUAGGUGGCAAGCGUUGUCCGGAUUUACUGGGUGUAAAGGGCGUGUAGCCGGGAAGGCAAGUCAGAUGUGAAAUCCACGGGCUUAACUCGUGAACUGCAUUUGAAACUACUUUUCUUGAGUAUCGGAGAGGCAAUCGGAAUUCCUAGUGUAGCGGUGAAAUGCGUAGAUAUUAGGAGGAACACCAGUGGCGAAGGCGGAUUGCUGGACGACAACUGACGGUGAGGCGCGAAAGCGUGGGGAGCAAACAGGAUUA
rnacentral:rRNA from 1 species